rnacentral:rRNA from 1 species
UUCCUGUCCAACGUUAAUCGGGGCAGGGUGAGUCGACCCCUAAGGCGAGGCCGAAAGGCGUAGUCGAUGGGAAACGGGUUAAUAUUCCCGUACUUGGUGUUACUGCGAAGGGGGGACGGAGAAGGCUAUGUUGGCCGGGCGACGGUUGUCCCGGUUUAAGCGUGUAGGUGUGUGUUCCAGGUAAAUCCGGUUCACUUUAACACUGAGGCGUGAUGACGAGGCACUACGGUGCUGAAGCAACAAAUGCCCUGCUUCCAGGAAAAGCCUCUAAGCAUCAGGUAACAUCAAAUCGUACCCCAAACCGACACAGGUGGUCAGGUAGAGAAUACCAAGGCGCUUGAGAGAACUCGGGUGAAGGAACUAGGCAAAAUGGUGCCGUAACUUCGGGAGAAGGCACGCUGACACGUAGGUGAAGUGAUUUACUCAUGGAGCUGAAGUCAGUCGAAGAUACCAGCUGGCUGCAACUGUUUAUUAAAAACACAGCACUGUGCAAACACGAAAGUGGACGUAUACGGUGUGACGCCUGCCCGGUGCCGGAAGGUUAAUUGAUGGGGUCAGCGCAAGCGAAGCUCCUGAUCGAAGCCCCGGUAAACGGCGGCCGUAACUAUAACGGUCCUAAGGUAGCGAAAUUCCUUGUCGGGUAAGUUCCGACCUGCACGAAUGGCGUAAUGAUGGCCAGGCUGUCUCCACCCGAGACUCAGUGAAAUUGAACUCGCUGUGAAGAUGCAGUGUACCCGCGGCAAGACGGAAAGACCCCGUGAACCUUUACUAUAGCUUGACACUGAACAUUGAGCCUUGAUGUGUAGGAUAGGUGGGAGGCUUUGAAGUGUGGACGCCAGUCUGCAUGGAGCCGACCUUGAAAUACCACCCUUUAAUGUUUGAUGUUCUAACGUGGACCCGUUACCCGGGUUGCGGACAGUGUCUGGUGGGUAGUUUGACUGGGGCGGUCUCCUCCUAAAGAGUAACGGAGGAGCACGAAGGUUGGCUAAUCCUGGUCGGACAUCAGGAGGUUAGUGCAAUGGCAUAAGCCAGCUUGACUGCGAGCGUGACGGCGCGAGCAGGUGCGAAAGCAGGUCAUAGUGAUCCGGUGGUUCUGAAUGGAAGGGCCAUCGCUCAACGGAUAAAAGGUACUCCGGGGAUAACAGGCUGAUACCGCCCAAGAGUUCAUAUCGACGGCGGUGUUUGGCACCUCGAUGUCGGCUCAUCACAUCCUGGGGCUGAAGUAGGUCCCAAGGGUAUGGCUGUUCGCCAUUUAAAGUGGUACGCGAGCUGGGUUUAGAACGUCGUGAGACAGUUCGGUCCCUAUCUGCCGUGGGCGCUGGAGAACUGAGGGGGGCUGCUCCUAGUACGAGAGGACCGGAGUGGACGCAUCACUGGUGUUCGGGUUGUCAUGCCAAUGGCACUGCCCGGUAGCUAAAUGCGGAAGAGAUAAGUGCUGAAAGCAUCUAAGCACGAAACUUGCCCCGAGAUGAGUUCUCCCUGAGACUUAGAGUCUCCUGAAGGAACGUUGAAGACGACGACGUUGAUAGGCCGGGUGUGUAAGCGCAGCGAUGCGUUGAGCUAACCGGUACUAAUGAACCGUGAGGCUUAACCUUACAAC